UUGGAGAGGAUUAGAAAUGUAACCUAAUGCUGGCUGGAGCCCCGUUAGGGCCUCUGCGGCACCAAUGGCUUUCUUCUGGAUACAUUUCUGUUCCUGUAGUUCAUAGCUAGACUCAUAAUGAAUGUAAAACUAGACCAAAAUAGUUUCUCCUGGAUUUUAAUGCGUAUGAAAUGUUGGUGGUCUGCAGAUUUAUGCUUUACAGAUGAGGAUAAGGUGUUAUGCAAAUGAUCAUCCGAAUUUACUUUAUCAAAUAGAACUGAACUAUGGGUAGGCUUCAACAAUGACACCUCUGAUGUGACACCUGGUGGGCUCCAGAGCACACCAACCUUCCUGAGCCGUAGCCCUGAGAUGCGACGGCGGCUCUGUGCCUUCUAUAAUUUACCACCAGAAUGGGCCAGCCAAACCAGUGAUCAAUGUUCAUCUUACCCUCAUCAGUAUGGCCAUCUCUCCUCCUGUUCCAGUUGGCACUUCUGGGCCUCUGCAAUCCUGUUGUGCCUCCUUUAUCCUGUAUCCUCUGCUGCUGCUAUCUUUCGAGUAGGGGUGGUCGGCCCAUGGACCUGUGACCUCCUCUUUGCCAAAGCUUAUCCCAGUGCAGCAGCACAACUAGCUGUAAGUCAUAUCAACCAGGACCCAUCCCUCUAUCCUGGGGUCACUUUUGAUUAUGUCAUCCUGGAAGAAGAUUGUGAGACAUCACAGGCUCUAUCCCACUUCCUUGGCUACUAUGUGCGGGCGUCUGCAUUUGUUGGUCCUGUCAACCCAGGUUACUGUGACACAGCAUCCCUUCUGGCAAAAAGCUGGAACAAAGCUGUGUUUUCCUGGUCAUGUAGUGGUGAUGAGCUCGAUACCAGACACAACCACCCCACCUUUGUCCGCACUAUGCCAUUGCCCACUCUUGUGUUGCUCCAUCUUAUGCGGCACUUCCGCUGGGCUCACGUGGGUAUCGUUUCCUCAGGUGAUGACAUCUGGAUAGAGACUGCAAGCAAGGUAGCUAAUACUUUGCGCAGCCAUGGUAUGCCUGUUGGCAUAGUGGCAACUAUCGGGAAGGACAUGGUCAGUAUGCGCAAGACCCUAGCCAAGGUCAAGAAAGUAGAAAACCUACGCUUGGUCAUCCUAUGUAUGCACUCCAUCUUAAUAGGAGGUAAAGAUCAGCAGAUGCUUCUUGAGAUGGCACAUGAUAUGAGGAUGACAGAAGGGUCUAUGGUAUUUGUGCCCUACGACACUCUCCUGUACAGCUUGCCCUACCAAAACCUUUCACAAUAUAUCCUUCCCAACAAUAGCAAGCUGCUGCAUGCUUAUGAUGCUGUGCUUACCAUCACUGUGGAGUCUCCAGAACGGCACUCAUUUUAUCAAGCUUACACUGAGGCACAGACUGGUGGAAAGCUUCCCAAGAACAUUAAACCCCAUCAGGUGUCCCCUCUGUUCGGUACCAUCUAUUCCUCUAUCCUGUUUAUUGCUCAUGCCAUGCAGAGUUUAAAAGCAUCAAGACAGUGGAUGUCUGGAGAUAAUCUGGCCCAGCAUGCACAUAACCUGACAUUCAAGGGAUUCAGUCACCCCAUCCACACAAGUCAUUCAGGCUUGGGUCUACUGGAUUAUGUUGUGCUGGAUACAGAUGGCUUAUCAUGGGAAAUGAGGCCCUGCUACAGAAUAGAAAUGGAGACGGACAUGGUACACUUCCUUGGUCGGUCUAUUCACUUCCCCCGAUUUGGGCCACCUAAGACUGACUCCAGAUGCUGGUUCACGCAUGGAAUUAUCUGUGGUAGAGGUGUGGAUCCUUUCCAACUGAUUAUUUUCUUAAUAUGUGUCUUUCUACUAAUCUUCUCUUUUGUUGCUUCUGUUUACUUUAUAAGGCGACGACUCAGUCAGAUUCAAUUAGUCCGAGGCCCAAAUAAAAUCCUGCUGACCUUGGCUGAUGUCACCUUUAUCAACCCAUCACUAAGUAACAAGAAGAUGAGUUUGGAAGAAAGCAAGACCAGUGAUACUAGAAAAAGCAUCUCAGAGCGCAGCCACACCUCUCCAUUCUCUAGUCAAUCUCCAGCCACCUAUGAGAAUUCAAAUGUCGCCAUCUUUGAGGGAGAUUGGGCUUGGCUAAAACGACUUCCCCACGGAAACUUUCGGAGUAUCAGCCCGAGUACCACUGAUGUGUUUGAACUAAUGAAAGACAUGAGGCAUGAGAAUGUUAACCCAUUCCUGGGCUUCUUUCACGACUGUGGAGUGUUUGCCAUAGUGACGGAGUUCUGUUCCCGUGGCAGCCUGGAAGAUCUGCUGCAUAAUGACGAUGUCAAACUGGACUGGAUGUUUAAAUCUUCACUCCUGCUAGACCUCAUUAAGGGAAUGAAAUACCUCCACCACAGGAAUGUAUGUCAUGGAAGGCUGAAGUCCAGAAACUGUGUUGUUGAUGGGCGUUUUGUGCUCAAAGUGACUGACUAUGGCUACAAUGAAGUUUUGGAGUCUCAGAGGUUUUUAUACAUAGAGCCACAGCCUGAGGAGCUGCUGUGGACAGCCCCUGAGAUCUUGAGAACUUCCUAUCCAGGGCUGAAAGGCAGUCUGGCAGGGGAUGUUUACAGCUUCUCCAUUGUCAUGCAGGAAGUUGUGGUGCGAGGGCCACCUUUUUGUAUGUUAGAGCAAUCUGCUCAGGAAAUUGUUCAGAAGGUGAGGAAGCCUCCACCAUUGUGCAGACCCACUGUAUCUCCAGACAAUGCUCCCCUGGAGUGCAUCCAGCUAAUGAAGCAAUGCUGGAAUGAGCAGCCUGAGAGGAGACCAACAUUUGAUGACAUCUUUGAUCAGUUCAAGAACAUAAAUAAAGGGAAGAAGACAAACAUCAUAGACUCCAUGCUGAGGAUGCUGGAGCAGUACUCCUCUAACCUGGAGGAACUGAUCAGGGAAAGGACAGAGGAGCUGGAAAUUGAGAAACAGAAGACAGAGAAAUUGCUUACACAGAUGUUGCCACCGUCAGUAGCCGAGGCUCUGAAGUUGGGAACCACAGUUAAACCAGAGUAUUUUGACAGUGUCACUGUCUACUUCAGUGAUAUUGUUGGCUUCACUACAAUCUCAGCCAACAGUGAGCCCAUCGAGGUGGUGGACCUUCUUAACGACCUCUACACACUCUUUGACGCAAUCAUCGGCAACCAUGAUGUGUACAAGGUUGAGACAAUAGGGGAUGCCUACAUGGUGGCAUCAGGUUUGCCUGUGCCCAACGGGAACCGCCAUGCAGCUGAGAUUUCCAACAUGGCUCUAGAUAUCCUCAGUGCUGUGGGAACAUUUAAAAUGAGACACAUGCCUGAUGUACCGGUCCGAAUCCGAAUAGGACUUCACACAGGUCCUUGUGUAGCUGGAGUUGUGGGCUUGACUAUGCCCAGGUACUGUCUGUUUGGAGACACUGUAAACACAGCUUCUCGAAUGGAGUCCACAGGGAUGCCAUAUCGGAUUCAUGUUCAUUCCAGCACAGUUAAAAUCCUGAUGGCACUGAAUGCAGGAUAUAAAGUCCAGUUGAGAGGAAGAAUAGAGCUCAAGGGCAAAGGCACAGAAGAGACCUACUGGCUCAUUGGAAGAGACAGUUUCACCAAACCACUUCCUGUCCCACCUGAACUGAAGUCAGGGCAAAUGGCACAUGGCUUGCAGAUGGAGGAAAUAGCUGCAUACAAGAGGCGGAAAGCGGAGAAAGAGCUUGCAAAGAAGAAUAACUGAGGCCUGAGAACAAGGACUUUAAGUUGAUGCUUCAGAAGGCGGUGAAGAAGAUCUCUGCUGUGCGUCAGGUGGCCCAGAUUACUCUGGCUGAUGAAGAUAACAUCAUGAUGCACCAUCACUGACUACCUUUCACCAGUACUCUUGAGACAGGAACUUCAAAUGCAACGAGGAAGUCCUAUAUAUCAGCCUUCUUCUUUUUCUCUCUUGCUCUGGUCAAGAUGGCUUGAUCUCUGGAUAUUUACUGCCUAUAUUUGGGUUGGUGUGUCGCAAAAAUCAGGACUUCGGCUUUAUUUUAACGUCUCCUGUUCACGUUUGGACUUUAAUACAGCAUGUCGUCUUGUGUAUAUUUCAGAGACUUUUGCUGUAACUUCUCAUUGUGGGACUUAAUGUGCUAUAAAUGAAUUAAACUGCUACAAGUAACACACACACACUCACAACUACUGGUCUGGUGGAAUGUUCCAGCACUGUGGAAGCACUGUCUCUCCAUGCUGAACUCCAUCCUGAGAGAUUACAGGUCUAUUCUGAAUAUUAUGAAGCACCUUUGUGACACAAGCCAAAGUCGCAUAUGAGGAACUAAAAUUAUCCACAGAGAAUCCAUUGCUCAGCAGGAGGAGGAUUGGAUCAGCAACAUAGUGAUAGACAGAGAGCCAGAGAAGUGAGAGUAAGAGAUUGGAUGAAGGGAUAAAAGACCUGAUUGCUUUCCAUUUGCAUACAAAUUUCAAACUCUGGUUCCUAUCAUCUAUAGGAAAGAAAUGUCCUUCUCGCUUGAGGAGAAAGCUUCCAAACCCAGGUCAUCUUUGUCCUGGCCAGGAAAUAAUAAGCAGAAACUUGGUGCAUAAAAAAGAAACUAUACUUACGUGUUAAAACAUUUAUGGUAUAAUUAGAGCUGAAUGUAAGUGCAUAUGGUGCCCAUAUCUAGUAAACUGAUCAACUGACAUGGUUUUAGAAUAGAACUACUGUAUUACUGAAAAUGUUCAGACAGACAUAUCUUAAUAAGGGGUAUGUUUAGCAUGGACUCCCAUGGAUGUCAUUAUUUAAAUGAACAAACCUUUUAGCAAUUUAUGGACUUGUCAAACAUGUCAAAUGUACAGUAUCUACUGUACUUCGCUUUUGUUUUUUUAUUGCUGUGAUGUACCUUUAAAAAAAUUGUGAAAAUCACAAGUAUGAGAACUGAAGACAAAACAAAAUCUCUGUACUACCAUGACAUCAGUGAACAAUUCCAAAUGACUUUAAAAUGAAAUUCAGAUAUUAAAGUUGAACUUGUGUAUUAAGGACACUUAUCGGCUCCUCUGGACAACCUGCCAUCCUGCAGUGUUUAUAAUCUGCUACACCUGAUCCAGCUAAGAAGAUGAUCAGGAGCAUGAGCUUACAGGUUCGGACUGAUCUCUGUCAGAAUUGCUAGACAUUGAUUAAGGCCAUAAUUUAAGCAAGUGGCUCUCAGUUUAUUGGUCUUUACGAGUGCAGUUCCAACAUCUGAAGUGUUUGGUUAGUUAGUUGAAUCAGGUGUGUCAGCAAUUCAAAAAGGUCAAAACUGGAGUUGUUUUAGCCACAACACACUUUUAUUCGAAGGUGAAAAAAAAGAAUUGAUGUCAACUUAAUAAAAUUGGCAAUUAAGAAUAAAAUCUGUCUUUUAUUUCAACAGAGGUGUGUUUAUUAGUUUUGUGAGCAGGCAAUAAUCCUGACUGUAAAACACUGACUUCCUAGGAAACAACGCCAUUUUGUGGUCAGUGGUGUAAAUGCAGCAGAUGGUGACCUAGAUGUUGUGUGGAUUAGGCCAAGUGGCUCUAUAUAAGAAGUACACAUAGUGACAAGGUCACCCUUAACUGGAUUUAACAAUUCUAAAGCCUCCCUGUUAUCCUGCAUGCAGAUUAUUACAUACUCCUGAAGAUGUUUCUGGAAAUGAUUAUCUGUUACUACAAUUGAAGACUGAAGAGAGAUUUCAUGCUAGUUCUAUAGAAUUUUCAGUUCUAUAGAAUUUACAGGCUAGAACAUGGUUUCCAGGCUGAUGCAUAAUACAAUAAAUAAAAAGAAACUCUUGAAGAGAAGAGACUAGAAGACAUCAAGAACCUUUUAUUGUUAUUAUUAUUGUUUGUUGUUGUUUUUUGUUGUAAUUUUAUUUUAUGUUUUUUAUUGUGAUUUGUCAGAGCUAUGUGUAUCUACAAAAUUUUUAAAAAAUACAUUAAAGAGGUUCUAUUUUAUUUUAUAAGUGAAAUUGAGGCAAUUC